rnacentral:rRNA from 1 species
GACGAACGCUGGCGGCGUGCUUAACACAUGCAAGUCGAACGGAAAGGCGCUGAUUUUGUGGGGUGCUCGAGUGGCGAACGGGUGAGUAACACGCGAGUAACCUGCCCUUGACUUUGGGAUAACUUCAGGAAACUGGGGCUAUUACCGGAUAGGAGCUCCUGCUGCAUGGUGGGCGUUGGAAAGUUUCGGCGGUUGGGGAUGGACUCGCGGCUUAUCAGCUUGUUGGUGGGGUAGUGGCAUACCAAGGCUUUGACGGGUAGCCGGCCUGAGAGGGUGACCGGCCACAUUGGGACUGAGGUACGGCGCAGACUCCUACGGGACGCAGCAGUGGGGAGUAUUGCGCAAUGGGCGGACGCCUGAUGCAGCAACGCCGCGUGCGGGAUGACGGCCUUCGAGUUGUAAACCGCUUUCGCCUGUGACGAAGCGUGAGUGACGGUAAUGGGUAAAGAAGCACCGGCUAACUACGUG